UUUAAUCGAACUGAAAGAAGUUUUGGAAGCACAAAGCAUUGUUGAAGAAGUAGUAGAAAAAGAAGAAGAAAAAAAAAUUGUAGAAGUUAAGCCCAAAACGUUCAGUGUGAAAAGAUUGGCUAGUGUUUUCUCAGGUGUUAACAAAAUUUUAUCAGAAUUAGAAAGUAUGGAUCCAAAUGUAGAACGUUUUAGAAAGGUACAUUGGGAAAUGUGUGAAAUCUUAAAGUGUUAUCGUGAAAUAUACGAAGGAAAAAAGAAAAAAACUGUGGAAACCAAACAUGGUGGGUUAUUUAAGAAAAUUAUUCCUUCCCCGACUCCAUUUCGCUCCCUAUUUCCCUCCCCAUCCACAGGAAUAGAACACCCAGACCAUCCUCAGCCAUCAACCAGCUAUGCCAGCAUAACUGAAGUUUCUGAAAACACAGAAAAAAAUGAACCUUUCAAAGGAUUUAUCUCAAAUUUGAUGUUUACAGGCAUUCCAAAGGAUACGAUGCUAAAAUCUCCCAAAUGGGAGGAAGAGGCCUUGGACAUUGUGAAGGUGAAGCUUCCCCUGGAGAUAAAACAAGAAAAUGAUGGGGAAGCUAACUAACUAGAAUAUGAUGGAUAUGGGCCAACCCAUAAGGAGAUGAACUUCCAGGUGGGAAGAUCUGAAGAAAUAAACAUUUGCAAGAGUUGGAAGAAGUCAAAAGAUAAUUUUUCUGGGGUUCUGGGAUUAAAAGAAAUCCAAGAAAUCCACAGGGAGCACAAAGGCACUCAGGAAUGAAAGCAAGUGAAGCUUCCCAACCUGAAGAAGGUGAUAAAAACUUAAAUGAAGCCAAUUUUCAGUGUGACAAAAAGCACCUGUGUAUCCACAUGGGAGAAAAGCCACAUAAAUGCUCCGAUUGAGGCAAAAACUUCAUUGGGCAAGAUGUCCUCAUCAAACAUAAGAGGACCCAUACAGGAGAGAAGCCAUAUGAAUGCUCUGAGUGUGGGAAAAGCUUCCAGAUCAGCUGCCACCAUAAAAGGACACACACAGGUGAGAAACUGCACAAGUGUUUGGACUGUGGCAAAAGCUUCAGUGAGAGCAUCGCUAGUGAAACACGAGAGGACCCACACAGGCGAGAAGCCUUACGAGUGCUCCGAAUGUGGGAAAAACUUUCAGACCAGUUCCCAGUUGAAAACACACAAAAUGACGCACAUGGGUGAGAAGCUAUGCCAGUGUUUAGACUGUGGACAGAGCUUCAGACAAAAGUCAC